rnacentral:rRNA from 1 species
CGGGGUGCAGCAGGCGCGAAAACUUUACAAUGCCGGCAACGGCGAUAAGGGAACCUCGAGUGCCAGGUUACAAAUCUGGCUGUCGUGAUGCCUAAAAAGCAUUGCAUAGCAAGGGCCGGGCAAGACCGGUGCCAGCCGCCGCGGUAACACCGGCGGCUCGAGUGGUAACCGUUAUUAUUGGGUCUAAAGGGUCUGUAGCCGGCCGGGUAAGUCUCUUGGGAAAUCUGGCAGCUUAACUGUCAGGCUUUCAGGAGAUACUGCCUGGCUCGAGGCCGGGAGAGGUGAGAGGUACUUCAGGGGUAGGGGUGAAAUCUUGUAAUCCUUGAAGGACCACCAGUGGCGAAGGCGUCUCACCAGAACGGACCUGACGGCAAGGGACGAAAGCUAGGGGCACGAACCGGAUUAGAUACCCGGGUAGUCCUAGCCGUAAACGAUACUCGCUAGGUGUCGGCCACGGUGCGACCGUGGUCGGUGCCGUAGGGAAGCCGUGAAGCGAGCCACCUGGGAAGUACGGCCGCAAGGCUGAAACUUAAAGGAAUUGGCGGGGGA